AGCUCCUGAAGAGAAUCCUGAAAAUUAAACAAACUCCCCCUUUUUCAUGUCCUUAUUUCAAAAUAACCUAAUUUUAGCAUCGAUUUGGAGGAUGUUUGGAACUGACAUUAGAUUACAGAUUUUCUUGGCAAUUAGUGGGAAUUGUGGGAACAAAAUAAACUCCUGUGGGCUCAGUCUCCGGGUGAAUUCAUGGUUUUCUGCCUGAAAUGUUGCCGGGUUUCCUCUGUUUAUACCCUGAUGCCAGUUUGGUGUCGGUUCCUGGAUUCAUGUGAUUCUCUUGCACCUUCAGCUUCAAUCCGUGUCCCAACUCUCCUUAGGGAAGGUCUUUCUACUCCUCUUCACACAGCUCUGGUGAGGGAAGUGGCUGCUCUGCAAGGGAGGAUGGAGAAACUCGCCAGAUCUCCAGGAUUUACCCAGAAUUGGGCAGGAAAGGAACAGAGUCAUUCCAAACUCAGCAGCAGCACCUGCAAGGCAGCCUUGAGUAAGUCAGGAGUUACUGCCUCUCCCCCAGGUGAGGUGCAGGUGCUCAGCUGCCACCUGGCCGGGGAGCAGAUCCCGUUCCUGUGGCAUUCCUAUGGAACUGUGGGAAAAGAGUGGAGCAGGGGCCCUGCAGGAGCUUGGGGGGUCCUGCUGCCUCACCUCUGUGGAGUCUCUGCUUUACUGGGACACUUCAGGAAUGCAUUUAACUCUUCCAUUCCUUCCUGGCUGUAAGUGGGAGCUUUCCAAUGCCGAGUCUAUACCUUAAACCCAGCUCUUUGCAAGCUUGGUCUCGGUGACAACUUUUGGUGUGAGUGAGACAGAAAUCAGUGACAAAGUCAAACCAGGCUCUGUGCCUGCCCCCCUCCCCUGCCACCCCCCAGUGAUAUUUUGUGUAUUAAAAAGGCAAAGGAAAAUCAAGUUGAUAAGGCACAAACUCCAGCAGCUCGUGACUUUCAAUCAGUGCCUCGGGCUCCCCAGUGCUCUGGAGGGCUCUCGUUGCUAAAAGGGUGUGCUCAGAACAGCAGGAUCCAGGGCAUCUUGAGAGGCUGAUGAAGGAGGGAAAAGAAAGCAUUUUCCUCCCAAAUUCUCCUGAGAUUUAGGGUUGAAAGAGAGGGCAGGUUGGCAAACACAGUGAUGUCAGUGUUCUGCUGGGAUAGAGAAUGUGGUCACAAUACUUUAGAGCGAAAUACAUCAUAAAAGUCAUGUCAUAAAAUCAUAGAAUGGCCUGGGAUGGAAAAUCCCUUUUAAACUCCUCGUGUUGGACAAAGGGAGCAACACUCCCAUAAACUGUUGAUGAUAUUCAAGUUGUAAUUUAUAAACAGUCUCCUCAAACAUUGUGGUAUUUGCAAUGUAUUUAUAUCAUAUUAUGUAAGAUAAAUGGCUGGCAAACAUUCAUAAAGUAUUUAUUGGACAUGC